rnacentral:pre_miRNA from 1 species
AAGAUACUCCCUCUGUUCGGAAUUACUUGUCUCGGAAAUGGAUGUAUCUAGAACUAAAAUACGUUUAGAUACACCUAUUUCUACGACAAGUAAUUCCGAACGGAAGGAGUACAAU